UCUUCCCUCUGGCGGCGUGCCUAAUACAUGCAAGUCGAGCGAACGGACGAGAAGAUUGCUUCUCUGAUGUUAGCGGCGGACGGGUGAGUAACACGUGGAUAACCUACCUAUCAUACUGGGAUAACUUCGGGAAACCGGCGCUAAUACCGGAUAAUCUUUUGCACCGCAUGGUUCAAAAGUGAAUGACGGUCUUGCUGUCACUUAUAGAUGGAUCCGCGCUGCAUUGGCUAGUUGGUAAGGUAACGGCUUACCAAGGCAACGAUGCAUAGCCGACCUGAGAGGGGGAUCGGCCACACUGGAACUGAGACACGGUCCAGACUCCUACGAGAGGCAGCAGUAGGGAAUCUUCCGCAAUGGGCGAAAGCCUGACGUAGCAACGCCGCGUGAGUGAUGAAGGUCUUCGGAUCGUAAAACUCUGUUAUUAGGGAAGAACAGAUGUGUAAGUAACUGUGGACAUCUUGACGGUACCUAAUCAGAAAGCCACGGCUAACUACGUG
rnacentral:rRNA from 1 species